UACGUAGGGUGCAAGCGUUGUCCGGAAUUAUUGGGCGUAAAGAGCUCGUAGGCGGUUUGUCGCGUCUGCUGUGAAAUCCCGAGGCUCAACCUCGGGUCUGCAGUCGAUACGAGCAAACUAGAGUGUUGCAGGGGAGACUGGAAUUCCUGGUGUAGCGGUGAAAUGCGCAGAUAUCAGGAGGAACACCGGUGGCGAAGGCGACUCUCUGGGCAUUAACUGACGCUGAGGAGCGAAAGCAUGGGGAGCGAACAGG
rnacentral:rRNA from 1 species